CACGGAGACGGGCGAUCGGGCGGAAUCCAUCGCUCCAGGUGUCCAGCAGCUGAGAACGGACCGCGACCCAGUCAGCACGUGUGUCUGCUGUCGGGUUCGCGACUGUGUCCUUGCCGUGCUGCAACGUCCCUCGCCUGUGCUCCGGAAACCCGGUGUCACCCUUGGUCACUUCCCCUCUGCUGCGGUGGACAUACCGCUCAUACGCUGGGAGAGCCAAAGGGGACCAUCCGGAGCUUGGCCGACUCUCCCUUUCACAGCAACGUCCGGGACGAGACCCCGGAGCGGUCUGGCGUCCUCUCAAGAGCGCCAGGCUUCCCAAAUCCACCCCCCACAGAGCGCCCUGACGCCAUACGACACCCGAGUCUGGAUUACAGUCUCCAUUUUCAGCACUGGGCCUCAAAGUGCUCCCCCCUCUCCGGCAUCGCGGCCCCCGGGCUUUGAUCCCAUCCAGCACCGGUGCAGUAGGCCCAGAGUGGUGCUGACAGCUGGCCGACCAUAACGUCACUGCACUCGCCUUCUGCAACAUGUCCAGUGUUGUCACAGAAUCUCCACGGAAA
rnacentral:lncRNA from 1 species